rnacentral:rRNA from 1 species
AGCAGCCGCGGUAAUUCCAGCUCCAAUAGCGUAUAUUAAAGUUGCUGCAGUUAAAAAGCUCGUAGUUGAAUUUCGGGACCAAUAUGUCGGUCGUGCUUCGGUACGUACUGGCAUCGUUGGUUUCUCCUUUCUGAAGAACCAUGAUGUCAUUUAUUUGGUGUCAUGGGGAAUCAGGACUGUUACUUUGAAAAAAUUAGAGUGUUUAAAGCAGGCUCACGCUUGAAUACAUUAGCAUGGAAUAAUGAAAUAGGACGUUUGAUUCUAUUUUGUUGGUUUCUAGGAUCGACGUAAUGAUUAAUAGGGAUAGUUGGGGGCAUUAGUAUUCAAUUGUCAGAGGUGAAAUUCUUGGAUUUAUUGAAGACUAACUACUGCGAAAGCAUUUGCCAAGGAUGUUUUCAUUAAUCAAGAACGAAAGUUAGGGGAUCGAAGACGAUCAGAUACCGUCGUAGUCUUAACCAUAAACUAUGCCGACUAGGGAUCGGAUGAUGUUAAUUUUUUAAUGACUCAUUCGGCGCCUUACG